rnacentral:lncRNA from 1 species
CCUGGGGACAGUGAGACUGAGAUUUUCUUUCAGCCUUUGAAUGAAUACAACGUUGCCCGAUUGGAAUAUUAUCGCUAUUUUACGAGAAAAAUAGCAUAAAACUUGAUUUUAAACAGCGUUUGACAUGCUUCAAAGUACGGUAAUGGAAUAUUUUGACAUUUUUGUCACGAAAUGCGCUCGCCCUUCGGAUAGUGACCUGAAUGCACGACCAAAACGGAGCUAUUUGAAUAUAAUUAUGGAUUAUUUGGAACCAAAACAACAUUUGUUGUUGAAGUAGAAGUCCUGGGAGUGCAUUCUGAUGAAGAACAGCAAAGGCUAAGUAUAAAACCUUGUUCAGCGGUGUCGUGGGAACCCCCCCUACUAUAUUAGGACCUGUUACAGAAGACGAAGCUGAUGCAGUGGCUAUACACCAGUCCGUCUUCAGUGUAAUGAAGGACACUUGUAUCAGAGCUGAGUCGGAGCUGUAAAUCAAGCUCCUUCAUGACCAGUAUCAGUGAUGAAAGAGGCCUGGAGCUGAUCUACACUGCCAUGCUCAUCAGACGUUUGCAAACACCUCAGAAGGGACAGGAGGUGAUUACUGAUAAGACAGUACAUCACAAGUGUUUAAUAAUAUAUCUGUCACUCAUCAUACAUGUCACUUUUCUAAAUCAAAACAAAUUGUAUUUGUCACAUGCUUCGUAAACAACAGGUGUAGACUAACAGUGAAAUGCUUACAGGUCCUUUUCCAAAAAUGCAGAGUUAAGAUUAAAAUACAACAUUUAAAUAGAAAUUGUGACAAGGAAUAAAUACACAGUGAAUAACGAAUAACAAUAACGAGUAAAUGUAGCUUGGAUAUUAGCCUUGUCGAUAACAAGGCUUAUCUAAAU